AGUGCCUGAAAAGAAAAAAGCACCACCUCCUAAAGUUGUAAGGAAGCCAGUAGUUGAAAAAGUUGAAAAGACUUCUCGAAGAAUAGAGGAAGAAACCGUUCAAGUCACAAAAGUACCCGAAGUUUCCAAGAAGAUUGUUCCACAAAAACUCCCUCGGACUCCAGUGCAGGAAGAAGUUGUUGAAGUGAAAG